rnacentral:rRNA from 1 species
UACGUAGGCAGCGAGCGUUGUUCGGAGUUACUGGGCGUAAAGGGUGUGUAGGCGGUUGUUUAAGUUUGGUGUGAAAUCUCCCGGCUCAACUGGGGAGGGUCACGCGAUACUGCUCGACUCGAAGGCAGGAGAGGGAAGUGGAAUUCCCGGUGUAGUGGUGAAAUGCGUAGAUAUCGGGAGGAACACCAGUGGCGAAGGCGACUUCCUGGCCUGUUCUUGACGCUGAGGCGCGAAAGCUAGGGUAGCAAACGGG